UGCUGGGAUUACAGGCGAGAGCCACCGCGCCCAGCCCCUAGGGCUGAGUAUGGUUCCCUCUGGAUUGGCUGCUCACUAAGCCUGAUGAGUGUGUGUCCCAUCUGCCAUCUUAUAACUGGAUAUGAGUCUUGGUUCUGUGUCUUCUGAUUGCCAUGCAAGUCUUGCUGCCUUCAACAGCUGCAAAGGCUGCUGUGGCUACAUGACAUAGCAUGUUUCCUUAGUCUCAAUGGAGAGGACUCUAUGUGGAAGUAUUCUCUUGGUGAAGGGCUUCUCCUGAGAGCAUUAGCAACCUUCUGCACAAUGAAGGGAUUGGAAGUCUCCAAGCUGGAUGAAUUUCCUCAUUCUGGGAUUUCAAACUUCAAACUCUUCCUGGUGGGCAGAAAAAUGGACACUUAGUUAACAGCCUUUUCAAAAACAUGAAUUCAAGAUAUUACUGUUUAAUUGCUUCAAUUCAAUAUUCUCUUGACUACAUCAUUACACAUGGACACUAGUCAAUCUUCAAUUUGACAGAAUCCUCAAAUAUCUUGGGUAUGGCACUGAUGCAUAAUCCUUUGGUCCUUGUCCAAGUACUGGUUUAGGUAUAACUUAUCAAGAAUGCCUGGAAUCUAAACAGCCAAGUUUAGAGCUUAAACAGAGCCUCCUUCCUCAAUGUCCUUCACUGCCAACUAGCCAGAGCACCCCCCAGCUGCUGGGGGGCUCUGAGAAGACCACUUUCUUUGGUGUAUUUUAUUACAGGCUAAACAACACCCCUAAACAACAACAGAAACUCUCUGAGGUUUCCCAAUGCCUUCAAGUGGCUCUGGGAAGGCAUUGGAAGGCUUUGGAUGAAAUUACAGGCUAAGCUGCUUUAGCAAAAAGACACACAAAAUACAGAAGAUUAAACUAUGCAGGGAGUCUGGGAGAAAAGUUAAAGAGAGGAAACUGGUCAACAAUUGUCAACCUUAUCUUCUCUUCAAUUAUCUUUCCUAAAUUCCGGUAUGAUUUUGGUUGCUUGAACAAUCAGCGUGGUCUGAUG
rnacentral:lncRNA from 10 species